rnacentral:rRNA from 1 species
UGGGGAAUAUUGGACAAUGGGGGCAACCCUGAUCCAGCCAUGCCGCGUGAGUGAUGAAGGCCUUCGGGUUGUAAAGCUCUUUUGGCGGGGACGAUGAUGACGGUACCCGCAGAAUAAGCCCCGGCUAACUUCGUGCCAGCAGCCGCGGUACGACGAAGGGGGCAAGCGUUGUUCGGAAUUACUGGGCGUAAAGCGAGUGUAGGUGGUUGUCAUAGUCAGGUGUGAAAGCCUUGAGCUCAACUCAAGAAAUGCACUUGAUACUGGGCGACUAGAGGACCGGAGAGGAUAGUGGAAUUCCGAGUGUAGUGGUGAAAUACGUAGAGAUUGGGAAGAACACCAGUGGCGAAGGCGGCUAUCUGGACGGUUUCUGACUCUAAGACUCGAAAGCGUGGGGAGCAAACA